rnacentral:rRNA from 1 species
UACGGAGGGUGCAAGCGUUAUCCGGAUUCACUGGGUUUAAAGGGUGCGUAGGCGGACAGGUAAGUCAGUGGUGAAAUCUCCGAGCUUAACUCGGAAACUGCCGUUGAUACUAUCUAUCUUGAAUACCGUGGAGGUGAGCGGAAUAUGUCAUGUAGCGGUGAAAUGCUUAGAUAUGACAUAGAACACCAAUUGCGAAGGCAGCUCGCUACACGAAUAUUGACUCUGAGGCACGAAAGCGUGGGGAUCAAACAGG